rnacentral:rRNA from 1 species
UACGAAGGGUGCAAACGUUGCUCGGAAUUAUUGGGCGUAAAGCGCACGUAGGCGGCUUAGCAAGUCGGAAGUGAAAUCCCACGGCUCAACCAUGGAAGUGCUUUCGAAACUGCUGAGCUUGAGUACGAAAGAGGAUCGCGGAAUUCCCGGUGUAGAGGUGAAAUUCGUAGAUAUUCGCAAGAACACCAGUGGCGAAGGCGGCUCACUGGCCCGGUACUGACGCUGAGGUGCGAAAGCGUGGGGAGCAAACAGG